GACGAACGCUGGCGGCGUGCUUAACACAUGCAAGUCGAACGGAAAGGCCCUGCGUUUGUGGGGUGCUCGAGUGGCGAACGGGUGAGUAACACGUGAGUAACCUGCCCUAGACUUUGGGAUAACUUCAGGAAACUGGGGCUAAUACCGUAUAGGAGCCCCUGCUGCAUUGUGGGGGUUGGAAAGUUUCGGCGGGUGGGGAUGGACGCGCGGCUUAUGAGCUUGUUGGUGGGGGAGUGGCUUACCAAGGGUUUGAAGGGUACCCGGCACGAGAGGGUGGCCGGCGACAUGGGGCCUACGAGACGGACCAGACUCCUACGGGGGGCAGCAGGGGGGAAUCUUGCCCAAUGGGAGGAAGUCUGUGGAAGAAACGUCGCGUGUGGGAUGACGGCCUUUGGGUUGUAAAAAGCUUUAGCCUGUGACGAAGCGUGAGUGACGGUAAUGGGUAAAGAAGCACCGGCUAACUACGUG
rnacentral:rRNA from 1 species